AUUGAACGCUGGCGGCAGGCCUAACACAUGCAAGUCGAACGGUAACAGGAAACAGCUUGCUGUUUCGCUGACGAGUGGCGGACGGGUGAGUAAUGUCUGGGAAACUGCCUGAUGGAGGGGGAUAACUACUGGAAACGGUAGCUAAUACCGCAUAACGUCGCAAGGCCAAAGAGGGGGACCUUCGGGCCUCUUGCCAUCGGAUGUGCCCAGAUGGGAUUAGCUAGUAGGUGGGGUAACGGCUCACCUAGGCGACGAUCCCUAGCUGGUCUGAGAGGAUGACCAGCCACACUGGAACUGAGACACGGUCCAGACUCCUACGGGAGGCAGCAGUGGGGAAUAUUGCACAAAGGGCGCAAGCCUGAUGCAGCCAUGCCGCGUGUAUGAAGAAGGCCUUCGGGUUGUAAAGUACUUUCAGCGGGGAGGAAGGGAGUAAAGUUAAUACCUUUACUCAUUGACGUUACCCGCAGAAGAAGCACCGGCUAACUCCGUG
rnacentral:rRNA from 1 species